rnacentral:rRNA from 1 species
AUUGAACGCUGGCGGCAGGCCUAACACAUGCAAGUCUAGCGAGCGGCGGACGGGUGAGUAAUGUCUGGGAAACUGCCUGAUGGAGGGGGAUAACUACUGGAAACGGUAGCUAAUACCGCAUACCAUCAGAUGUGCCCAGAUGGGAUUAGCUAGUAGGUGGGGUAACGGCUCACCUAGGCGACGAUCCCUAGCUGGUCGGAGAGGAUGACCAGCCACACAGGAACUGCGCAAGGGUCCAGACUCCUACGGAAGGCAGCAGUGGGGAAGAUUGUACAAGGGGCGAGAGCGUGAGGAAGCCAUGGCGCGUGUGUGUAGAAGGCCGUAGGGUUGGAAGGCACUUUCAGCGGGGAGGCGUUACCCGCAGAAGAAGCACCGGCUAACUCCGUGCCAGCAGCCGCGGUAAUAC